rnacentral:rRNA from 1 species
AAACAUGUCUUUUUGAAAAUAAUUUAAAGUCUAAUCUGCCCACUGAUNAAAUUAUUAAAGGGCUGCAGUAUUUUGACUGUACAAAGGUAGCAUAAUCAUUAGUCUCUUAAUUGGUGACUUGUAUGAAAGAUUGGAUGAGAUAUAAACUGUCUCUAAUUAAUUUGUAAAAUUUAAUUUUUUAGUAAAAAAGCUAAAAUAAUUUUAAAAGACGAGAAGACCCUAUAGAGUUUAAUAAUUUAUUUAAUUAUUAUUAAUAUAUAAAUUUUAAAAUUAAAAUUAAAUAAAUUAUUUUGUUGGGGUGAUAGAAAAAUUAAAUUAACUUUUUUUUUAUAUUAAACAUUAAUUUAUGAAUAUAGGAUCCAUUAUUAUUGAUUAUAAGAAAAAAUUACCUUAGGGAUAACAGCGUAAUUUUUUUUUUUAGUUCAAAUAGGAAAAAAAGUUUGCGACCUCGAUGUUGGAUUAAGAUAAAAUUUAGAUGCAAAAGUUUAAAAUUUUAAUCUGUUCGAUCAUUAAAAUCUUA